rnacentral:rRNA from 1 species
UACGGAGGGAGCUAGCGUUGUUCGGAAUUACUGGGCGUAAAGCGCGCGUAGGCGGCUUUGUAAGUUAGAGGUGAAAGCCCGGGGCUCAACCCCGGAACUGCCUUUAAGACUGCAUCGCUUGAAUCCGGGAGAGGUGAGUGGAAUUCCCAGUGUAGUGGUGAAAUACGUAGAGAUUGGGAAGAACACCAGUGGCGAAGGCGGCUCACUGGCCCGAUACUGACGCUGAGGCACGAAAGCGUGGGGAGCAAACAGG